AGCAUAGCGAUUUGGGAUAAGUCCCUUGGAAAAGGGCAGCAUAGAGGGUGAUACUCCCGUCUUUGCCCAGGUUGUCUAUGUGUACGAUACGUUUUCUUUGAGUCGAGUUGUUUGGGAAUGCAGCUCAAAGUAGGUGGUAAAUUCCAUCUAAAGCUAAAUAUAGGUGCAAAACCGAUAGCGAACAAGUACCGUGAGGGAAAGAUGAAAAGAACUUUGAAAAGAGAGUUAAAGAGUACCUGAAACUGUUGAAAGGGAACCGUAACAUGUCCAGUGUUUUAUCUCUUAUAUAUUUCAUUAGNACAGCAAUGCACUGGUGCCCUGUAUAAGAGUGUGACGUCAAAGUCAGUUUGUAUNUUGCGGGGAGAUGGUUUAUAAGGGNGGUGCGUCACUUUUGUGUCAGUUAUAUCUUGCUAGCAUAGUAGCCGUGGUUGAGACUGAUGUGCC
rnacentral:rRNA from 2 species